rnacentral:rRNA from 1 species
UACGUAGGGUGCGAGCGUUAAUCGGAAUUACUGGGCGUAAAGCGUGCGCAGGCGGUUCGUUAAGUUCGAUGUGAAAGCCCCGGGCUCAACCUGGGAACUGCAUUGGAAACUGGCGAGCUUGAAUGCGGCAGAGGGGGGUGGAAUUCCGAGUGUAGAGGUGAAAUUCGUAGAGAUGUGGAGGAACACCGAUGGCGAAGGCAGCCCCCUGGGCCGACACUGACGCUCAUGCACGAAAGCGUGGGGAGCAAACAGG